CUGUGCUAGACGGGGAGUUAGCGGUGCCCUGUAACCUGCAAACCGCUAUAGCAGGGUUGAAUUCCCACCCGAGGUUCGACCACGCCCGGUCAUCAGGCGGCAAGCGAUGAUGAAGGGCCGAGUCCUGCGCAAAGGAAGUCCGCCGAAACCCGUCAGGACCGGAAGGGAGCAGCGGUAGGCGUGUCAACCUUGUGCCGCAGAUCUGCUUGGCCGGAGUUGGCUACUGUCUGCAGAACGGGUGCAAGGCGGAUCGGAGGUGGGUGCACGG
rnacentral:SRP_RNA from 1 species